rnacentral:rRNA from 1 species
UACGGAGGGUGCGAGCGUUGUCCGGAAUCACUGGGCGUAAAGGGCGCGUAGGCGGCCGAUCAAGUCGGGGGUGAAAGCCUGUGGCUCAACCACAGAAUUGCCUUCGAAACUGUACGGCUUGAGGCCGGGAGGGGGUAGCGGAAUUCCCAGUGUAGCGGUGAAAUGCGUAGAUACUGGGAGGAACACCAGUGGCGAAGGCGGCUACCUGGACCGGUUCUGACGCUGAGGCGCGAAAGCGUGGGUAGCAAACAGG